rnacentral:rRNA from 1 species
AACGAACGCUGGCGGCAUGCCUAACACAUGCAAGUCGAACGAGACCUUCGGGUCUAGUGGCGCACGGGUGCGUAACGCGUGGGAACCUGCCCUUAGGUUCGGAAUAACUCCCCGAAAGGGGUGCUAAUACCGGAUAAUGUCUUCGGACCAAAGAUUUAUCGCCUUUGGAUGGGCCCGCGUUGGAUUAGCUAGUUGGUAGGGUAAAAGCCUACCAAGGCGACGAUCCAUAGCUGGUCUGAGAGGAUGAUCAGCCACACUGGGACUGAGACACGGCCCAGACUCCUACGGGAAGCAGCAGUGGGGAAUAGUGGAAAAUGGGCGAAAGCCUGAUCCAGCAAUGCCGCGUGAGUGAUGAAGGCCGUAGGGUUGUAAAGCUCUUUUACCCGGGAUGAUAAUGACAGUACCGGGAGAAUAAGCUCCGGCUAACUCCGUG